CAGCCGCCGCGGUAAUACGUAGGGUGCAAGCGUUAAUCGGAAUUACUGGGCGUAAAGCGUGCGCAGGCGGUUUGUUAAGACAGACGUGAAAUCCCCGGGCUCAACCUGGGAACUGCAUUUGUGACUGGCAAGCUAGAGUGUGGCAGAGGGGGGUGGAAUUCCGCGUGUAGCAGUGAAAUGCGUAGAUAUGCGGAGGAACACCGAUGGCGAAGGCAGCCCCCUGGGCCAACACUGACGCUCAUGCACGAAAGCGUGGGGAGCAAACAGGAUUAGAUACCCCCGUAGUCCCUGUCUCUUAUAC
rnacentral:rRNA from 1 species